CUGUAAGCCUGUGAAGGUGUGCUGUGAGGCAUGCUGGAGGUAUCAGAAGUGCGAAUGCUGACAUAAGUAACGAUAAAGCGGGUGAAAAGCCCGCUCGCCGGAAGACCAAGGGUUCCUGUCCAACGUUAAUCGGGGCAGGGUGAGUCGACCCCUAAGGCGAGGCCGAAAGGCGUAGUCGAUGGGAAACAGGUUAAUAUUCCUGUACUUGGUGUUACUGCGAAGGGGGGACGGAGAAGGCUAUGUUGGCCGGGCGACGGUUGUCCCGGUUUAAGCGUGUAGGCUGGUUUUCCAGGCAAAUCCGGAAAAUCAAGGCUGAGGCGUGAUGACGAGGCACUACGGUGCUGAAGCAACAAAUGCCCUGCUUCCAGGAAAAGCCUCUAAGCAUCAGGUAACAUCAAAUCGUACCCCAAACCGACACAGGUGGUCAGGUAGAGAAUACCAAGGCGCUUGAGAGAACUCGGGUGAAGGAACUAGGCAAAAUGGUGCCGUAACUUCGGGAGAAGGCACGCUGAUAUGUAGGUGAAGUCCCUCGCGGAUGGAGCUGAAAUCAGUCGAAGAUACCAGCUGGCUGCAACUGUUUAUUAAAAACACAGCACUGUGCAAACACGAAAGUGGACGUAUACGGUGUGACGCCUGCCCGGUGCCGGAAGGUUAAUUGAUGGGGUUAGCGGUAACGCGAAGCUCUUGAUCGAAGCCCCGGUAAACGGCGGCCGUAACUAUAACGGUCCUAAGGUAGCGAAAUUCCUUGUCGGGUAAGUUCCGACCUGCACGAAUGGCGUAAUGAUGGCCAGGCUGUCUCCACCCGAGACUCAGUGAAAUUGAACUCGCUGUGAAGAUGCAGUGUACCCGCGGCAAGACGGAAAGACCCCGUGAACCUUUACUAUAGCUUGACACUGAACAUUGAGCCUUGAUGUGUAGGAUAGGUGGGAGGCUUUGAAGUGUGGACGCCAGUCUGCAUGGAGCCGACCUUGAAAUACCACCCUUUAAUGUUUGAUGUUCUAACGUUGACCCGUAAUCCGGGUUGCGGACAGUGUCUGGUGGGUAGUUUGACUGGGGCGGUCUCCUCCUAAAGAGUAACGGAGGAGCACGAAGGUUGGCUAAUCCUGGUCGGACAUCAGGAGGUUAGUGCAAUGGCAUAAGCCAGCUUGACUGCGAGCGUGACGGCGCGAGCAGGUGCGAAAGCAGGUCAUAGUGAUCCGGUGGUUCUGAAUGGAAGGGCCAUCGCUCAACGGAUAAAAGGUACUCCGGGGAUAACAGGCUGAUACCGCCCAAGAGUUCAUAUCGACGGCGGUGUUUGGCACCUCGAUGUCGGCUCAUCACAUCCUGGGGCUGAAGUAGGUCCCAAGGGUAUGGCUGUUCGCCAUUUAAAGUGGUACGCGAGCUGGGUUUAGAACGUCGUGAGACAGUUCGGUCCCUAUCUGCCGUGGGCGCUGGAGAACUGAGGGGGGCUGCUCCUAGUACGAGAGGACCGGAGUGGACGCAUCACUGGUGUUCGGGUUGUCAUGCCAAUGGCACUGCCCGGUAGCUAAAUGCGGAAGAGAUAAGUGCUGAAAGCAUCUAAGCACGAAACUUGCCCCGAGAUGAGUUCUCCCUGACCCUUUAAGGGUCCUGAAGGAACGUUGAAGACGACGACGUUGAUAGGCCGGGUGUGUAAGCGCAGCGAUGCGUUGAGCUAACCGGUACUAAUGAACCGUGAG
rnacentral:rRNA from 1 species